rnacentral:rRNA from 1 species
UACGUAGGGAGCAAGCGUUGUUCGGAUUUACUGGGCGUAAAGGGCUCGUAGGCGGCCAACUAAGUCGGAUGUGAAAUCCCCAAGCUUAACUUGGGAACUGCAUCCGAUACUGGAUGGCUUGAAUCCGGGAGAGGGAUGCAGAAUUCCAGGUGUAGCGGUGAAAUGCGUAGAUAUCUGGAGGAAUACCGGUGGCGAAGGCGGCAUCCUGGACCGGCAUUGACGCUGAGGAGCGAAAGCUAGGGGAGCAAACGGGG